CCCAGCAAUAGGUGGCUGAGGAGAGCAGAUCCACGUGGCAGAUGCCCCCUCCUCAUGUAUGUUCUGCUCCUGCUGCCGAUGGCUGUGUGAUCCUGGUUGUCUCUUAGUGUCUCGGGGUCACCCUCUGUAAAGUGGGGUCACUGGCACUCUCCUGCCUUCGUAAAGCACUUUGAGUUCGGGGGUGGAACGUAUGGGUAGAAGAGCGAAUGAGCAGAGCCCCGUAAACCCACAGAUGUCCGCUUUAUUUGACUAACACGGCUGUUACUCUGAAACCUUCUUUGGAAACACCCUCUUUGCAGCAUUGGGACAACACUCAAAAGAAAGCAGCACAAAGGACCAAUGGACACAGACACAGAGUUUGAAUCUGGUAUAGAUUUGCAUAAGAGGAAAGCUGCUAUAAAAGUGAGGUGUCUUGCAGAGGACCCCGGGUCUCGUCUUGUCAACAUGGGAGCAUCGAUCCGGAUCGGCAGAAGCCCGACUCCACCCCCUCCCCCAUCUAACUCACCUGGCCAGUGAAGUUAAGGGGAGCAACUAAUUGGUAACAACAAGACGGAGUGUGUUUGUGUGUGUGUGUGUGAGUGUAAGUGUAAUAUAUUAUAUGCAUAUAAUACAGUGUUAAUGAAUACAUGUAUUACUAAUAAAUGUGGCGUUUUGUCUUAUUCCCCCUGAAAAGAUCCUGUGCAGUACUUUAAGUACAACAUUUUGGUGGAGAAUGCGAAAGGGGGAGCAAGCAUAGAACCCACAGUUAUUAUAAAACUGGUGUGCACACCGCCAGCUUUAGCAAGCCUGGCACUAUAGGAAAAAGAGCGUAAACUUUCAGUUAAAAGAAGAACAGGAGUACUUGUGGCACCUUAGAGACUAACAAAUUUAUUAGAGCAUAAGCUUUCGUGGACUACAGCCCACUUCUUCGGAUGCAUAAUUAACCAAACUCUGAAGGAUAUAGGAGUUUAGGUUUAAAUUGUGUUAUAGAGGUACAUACACCCUUAGCCGUAGCAAGACUGAGCUAAAGAGGAAAACUUAGUGUUUCUCACUCUGAUCCGGGGAAGGAUCUAAUCCGGGGAAGGAUUUGUAUAAUUGGUGUAUAAACCCUCGGUGGUAGCAGACCGAGUAAUACAGAGGGAGGCUUAGCGUCUCUCCCUCUGGCCCAGAGUGGGUUAAAAACAUAAGAUGCAGAUCUUGUUCUGUUAAACCAAACUCUGAAGGAUAUAGGAGUUUGGGCAGUGUAGUGUAAUGUAUGUUUGUUUGUUUUGUUUUUUUUGUAAGUAAUAUUGUGGUAAUUUCACAAUUUUGCAGAAAAUGUUUAAGAAACAGAACCAGGAAGGGUGGGGGCUAGUUGGAAAGCCCACCCUCCUUGCUAAAUUGGUAGUAAAACAAGGCUUGUGCCCAUGGAAAAAAACUGUUUAUUGAAAAAAGCAGAAUCGGGCCCAGGCAAGCAAUAGAUAAAGAAACUGAAAAACAGGUUGGGUACAGAGAGUUAAAACAGCACUCUCAAAUCUUACAGCAGCAGUAACAUCAGGAGAAGAAACAUUUGAGACCCCAGAAGGGGGCAGACCUUUGGGACCCCUCUGGAGAUUGGGAAGGGGGAUAUUUGGGAUAUUUGGGUAAAUUCCUCCUCCCAGGGCCAAAAUGCCAUUAAAACAGUUAACAACAGUGCCUGCUUCUGCCUCAGAUCUCCAGGCCAUGGCAAAAUGGCUGGAGAUUUUAAAACAGAAUUUUUUUUCUAGAUGGAGUGUUAACGCCCUUUUACUGAAAGAAAGGGAGAAUUUACACUCACAAAAAAUGCACCACUUAAUUAGCAUUUGUGCAGCCCCAAGUACCAAACACACUGUGGCAGAGACCAAGCAGGUUCUGCCAGGGUGAAAGCACUGUGCUAAUUUGUUUCCAAGCUUCUAUCUUUCAGGCUCUGGACCAGAACAUCAGGAGAGCUGGUACUAGCUGAAGAGUUAUAAAAUUCCAUGGUUAUAGUGUCAUGACAAAGUCUGUGUUCAGUGUUCUGUGUUGCAUGUUCUGUGUCUGUCUCUAUUGGUGUCCUGUGCUAGCAUUGGGUCUAGAAAAAGGGGAUACUACACUAGACAGGGCAAAUGUCUUUUCCUUUCUCUACUUCCCCCAUCUCCAUCCAACUUAUCAAUCACCCCUUGUGUCCAAAAGACUUUGGUCCCCAGUGCAUCAGGGUUAUUUUGUUUUGUUUUGUUAGGUUCUCUAAUAAUCAUUUUGUUGUUAAUUUUUGUUCUUAAUACAUUUGUAUUGUUGGUUACAUUUGCUUGUAUUAUUAUUAAUUCCACACUUUCCUCUAUGCACUCUAGUUCUAUUUCCCCAAGCCCUGAAGGGUAGUUCUUGGGCCCCCAUAACCUGUAAGACCUUGGCCCAUAAUUGUAUGGCCCCAUCUUUCAGGUCCCCAGAAACCUCUAAAAACAACUGUUAAAAAUAGGGAAUUCUACAACAUUUUAGCAACUAAAUGUUAGUUUAAGUCCAAAUCAGCUUAACCUUGCAUAACAACUGUGGUACUCCUACAAAAUCUUAUUUGUUGUGUGUGCUUAAGAAGGUCCUGACCUCAGUGACUUUUAUUUUUUGAUGGCUAUUGCAGCAUCAAACUUGGGCCUCAUUUUGUUUGUCAAUGUACCCAAUUAUUGUAAUGGUAAUGGUUUUGUUGUAUUUCCAAUUACUAUAAUUAUAAUUGUUUGCAUUUGUGUUUAUGUUAUAUCUGGUGUUUAGUCAAUUGUAAUGGUUUUAGUUAUAUUCACCUGGUUAUAAUUGUUUUGUUUGCAACAAAUACAAAAGAUUUAUAUGGUGACCACUCAAGAAUUGUUCUUGAGAGGUCAAAAGGGGGACAAUGGUAGAUAAAUCUCUGAUAAUUUUCAUAUGACUUUACAUUGUGCCUCUUCAUAUAACCUUGUGGUGGGUCUACCCACGUGUAACCUCUUGUUUUCAUGGGACUUUGUAUCAAAGCCUCAUUUAGAAACUUUGCAUUGCCCUUGGUAUAAUAUUAUAGCCCCUAAGGAUAGAAUAAGAUAG